rnacentral:rRNA from 1 species
GGGCCCGCACAAGCGGUGGAGCAUGUGGUUUAAUUCGAUGAUACGCGAGGAACCUUACCAGGGCUUAAAUGUAGUGGGACAGGUCUAGAGAUAGACCCUUCUUCGGACUCAUUACAAGGUGCUGCAUGGUUGUCGUCAGCUCGUGCCGUGAGGUGUCAGGUUAAGUCCUAUAACGAGCGCAACCCCCUAUCGUUAGUUGCCAGCGAGUCAUGUCGGGAACUCUAACGAAACUGCCAGUGCAAACUGUGAGGAAAGGUGGGAUGACGUCAAAUCAUCACGGGCCCUUACGUCCUGGGCUACACACGUGCUACAAUGGCCGGUACAGAGAGCAGCCACUUCGCAAGAAGGAGCGAAUCUAUUAAAACCCGGUCUC